rnacentral:tRNA from 1 species
GCCUCUGUAGCUCAGUUGGUUAGAGCGCUGCACCGGAAUCGCAGGGCCGAAGGUUCGAUUCCUGCCAGGGACC